UACGGAGGGUGCAAGCGUUAUCCGGAUUCACUGGGUUUAAAGGGUGCGUAGGUGGGUUUGUAAGUCAGUGGUGAAAUCUCCAAGCUUAACUUGGAAACUGCCGUUGAUACUAUAAAUCUUGAAUGUUGUGGAGGUGAGCGGAAUAUGUCAUGUAGCGGUGAAAUGCUUAGAUGUGACAUAGAACACCAAUUGCGAAGGCAGCUCACUACACAAAGAUUGACACUGAGGCACGAAAGCGUGGGGAUCAAACAGG
rnacentral:rRNA from 1 species